UACGUAGGGUGCGAGCGUUAAUCGGAAUUACUGGGCGUAAAGCGGGCGCAGACGGUUACUUAAGCAGGAUGUGAAAUCCCCGGGCUCAACCUGGGAACUGCGUUCUGAACUGGGUGACUAGAGUGUGUCAGAGGGAGGUAGAAUUCCACGUGUAGCAGUGAAAUGCGUAGAGAUGUGGAGGAAUACCGAUGGCGAAGGCAGCCUCCUGGGAUAACACUGACGUUCAUGCCCGAAAGCGUGGGUAGCAAACAGGAUUAGAUACCCUGGUAGUCCACGCCCUAAACGAUGUCGAUUAGCUGUUGGGCAGCUUGACUGCUUAGUAGCGAAGCUAACGCGUGAAAUCGACCGCCUGGGGAGUACGGUCGCAAGAUUAAAACUC
rnacentral:rRNA from 1 species